rnacentral:rRNA from 1 species
AAAAACAGCCAUAUCACCCUGCAGCCCAAGACCGGUUACUCACUAAAGCUAAGCAGGGCUGAGCCUGGUUAGUACCUGGAUGGGAGACCACUAGGGAACACUAGGUUGCUGUUGGAA